AGACUAGGGUUUGGAGCAUGAUACAAGGUUCUGAAUAAGAGAGGUUGGAAUGAGCAAAAUGAGAAUCAAAUAUCAUGUUAUACCAUUGCUUGCAUACCACCCUUAAAUUGUACAAAGUAUCAGCUUCAAGUCUCUUGAGGAUGUCAAAGAUGAUAUUCUCAU